UUGAGUUCCAGGAAGGAAUUUCACAAAAUGUUUCAAAAUAUCCUCGUGGAAAACACGAGAGUUUAUAAGAAAUGGUGAAAUGCACAGAUUCAGAGAAAUCUAGGAAGACCUGUAGGAACUGAUACCAGGAGGACAAUUUAAAUACUGACCACAAUAUUGUGAGUAAAAAUUGCCUCCAAAGACUUCUGAAUGAGGAGCGAUGUGGAGCUGAUGGGCUGAGAGCAGAAUUCAGGGUAGCUUGCUGAAUAAAAGUUAUAGAAGAAUAUUGAAGCAAAGAUUCCAAUAACAGCAGCCAAGACCCAAGGCCUUGGGGGGGAAAAGUGAUCCUACACAGCUUAGAGACUGUUUAGCACAAACUAUAAUGAUCUGAGCAUGAGGAAAACAGGGUCUAUACCUGGAUCCAUGGCAGACUUGCCACCUGGUGAAUCUGAUACUGCUCUCUGGUUGACUAGAGUCCUCAAAUGUGAAACCCCAACCAAACCUGAUCUUAUUAUGCAACCAACCCCACCCCCAUCAAACUUAGGUCGUAGUGCCUGAAAAAACUGAAGAUGCAUUUACAUCCAUCUCUAAGCCAGUAGGUAAAUCUGAGAGAGC